rnacentral:tRNA from 1 species
AGUUAAUGAACUUGUUAAAGUUUGUAUUUUGAAAAUACACCAAAGAGUUAAUUACUCUAUUAACUU